UUUGUCUCUCUCCUCCAAGGGUUUCUGUGAGAGUGAAUGUUCAAAAUUGUAAUUGUUUAUGUAUCUGACCGCAGCAUUCAAAGCUAGAUACAGCGUGUUAGGCUGUUCCAGGAUGUAAUAGGUUUUGAAUUGAUUCAUCUCGGCGGCGGCAGUUUCGGCAAAUAAUGAUGCUAACUCUCGAGAACGCCGGUGGUUUCACGUUGUUGCUUGAGCCUUCACCAUCACAAGCAGUGUAGCUUCUCCAUUUCACUGAUUUGCCGUCGUUGUAUUUUUAAGUACUGGCCCUUACGGAUUUUUUUCAGAUAUCUCCACUGCCGCUUCACCAUUACGAAACGUUGACUAGCCAAAACAAUCGGUCUCGCAAGAGAAUACAAGUUAUGUUUUGUUGACAUUUGAUUAAGUCAGUGAUUGAUGAAUCCUUGCCACAUAUCCUAAUGGUAUUUAUAGGCUAAAAUCUCAACGAAGACGAAGAACAAAGCUCGGAAGAGAACGAGAAGAUUUCAUAUGUUCAUGUUAGAGUUUGCUGUGGUGAAGCAACAGAUAGCCAUAGCAGAACGAGUUAUAGGCAAGAAGGGAGAAAAUUAAUACACUGAUGAAGCUGCUAUAGGAACUGGUUCCAGGCUGUGAUAAGUAUCCUCACAGGAAAAAUUCUGGCUUGAAAUCAGCCUUAGUCAAGAAGAUAGUAAUAAAAGUUCUGGAAAUGACUUGAGAGACAAAGACGAUUUGAGUAGUUGUCUUCAAAGGUGAUGAAGCAGACGAUGCAGAAGAAGAAAACAAUGAUUUCUUCUAUGAUUCCGAAAGUGAUCACGUUUUUUGUUUUUCUUAUUUUUUACUUUCGAGCCUCUGUUUCUAUGUCUGAUAGAAAUUUCCUUUAUGAGAUACAGUGAGUUUAGAGACUUUGAUAACUCUGAGUGACACCUCUGGAUUGUUUGGAAGGUCUCAACUUCUCGGAUGGGGCUAAUUUGUAAUUCUUUUCUUUUUUUUUGCUACAACUAACGUGUAAUUCUCAAUCUCUCAAACCUUCGUAUCCUUUUAUCAAGAAAACACAAGAAACUAGAAAAUCAUGGAAAUUGCCUUUUUGUUAUAUUCUGCUCAUUAACUAAUAAUUGUUGUUUAAAACUUUGGUCAAGCCCAUCCAUGAAGAACACUUUCGUAACUAAUAACUUUGGUUAGAGAUAUAAAAAGAUUGACAAAUCACAGUGACUACCAAACAGAUAAAUAAUUUGAAUGUU